AGAGCAAAGCGUUUAAUAUAAAUAGUUUCAAAGCUCUUUGAUAUAAGGGAAUAUUCAGAUGUAAGUAAUUGUUUUUAUUUAAAUUUAAUGAUAUUUCCAAUGUCAACAUAUUUGAAGUAUUGCAGAGUUUAGUCUCUUUAUUUAUUGGUGACCAUAAACUGUAGACUGACCCAUCAAAAAAUGCUACUGUUCCUUUUAGAAAAAGGGGCGUGUCCCUUCGCUGGACGUGUUCUGUUCGAACUGUACAAGUGCAGGAAAAUUAACAGGUAGAAAAGACUUGCUGGCACAUGGGUCUCAAAGAGGGCGGUGCUUCACUUGCUAAUAUUUUUAUUUUGGAUUAUUAGAUUUUUUUUUAAUUCCCAUGUCAUGAUAAAUUGUUUUUUAGGAUCCCCAGUGUUAUAUUUCAAGUGUAUGUAUGGCUUUAAAAUGUUUACAAAAGCGAAUUAUAACCGACUUUGUCACGCGGUGUCUGUUACUUUUCUCAGCGCCUUUGAGAAUCGACUUUUCACGAGUACUUGUUAUGACUUCGUAUGGAUUAAAAAUCACUUAUCAUCGAUUUACUUUCAUAUUUAAGGUAAUAAUCAUUAAAAAAAAUAUAUUUUAUAAACAUAUACUUUAAAAUCUACAGAUAUCUUUAAUAAGUCAAAUAAACAGCGUCCUUAUUCUCCAAACGCCACCUGAAGGACGUGAGGUGUAUGUCCCAUCGUAGUCUGCACUUAGAGCUCCACUUUCUGUUCAUUUCUCGACUCGAAUUACAGUGAGUGUGUGUGUCCCACCAGCAGACUCCACCAGUGUGCCCAAUGCAUGAGGAUGAGGCGUUUUUACGAGCAAGGGAAUGUAACAUCAUAUAGGCGGAUCUCGCGUUGCGUUAUUUAACGCGCCCACCUGCGCCGCACACACACUUUUCCACGGCGUCUUCCUGGUGGACCAGAAAACGAUGGAUCUUCACAUACUGGACCAUCGAUUAAGGGUGACUUGCAUCAGCAAAAGCGGACUGCAACAUUACACACACCCGCUGAUCAAACUGAUAUUUCUGAGAAACAGGACGAGAUGCAAAUUUUUCAGUCUCACAGAGACUCCUGAAAAUUACACUGUUGUCCUCGACGAGGAGGGAUUUAAAGAGCUGCACCCGUCUGAGCACUUACAGGUGGAGGGCUCCACGUGGCUCCCGCUCAAUGUGGUCUCGAAUGGCAAUGCUUCCAGCAGCUCGCAGGCUGUGGGCGUCACUAAAAUUGCCAAGUCCGUCAUCGCUCCUCUGGCAGAGCAGCACGUGUCCGUCUUUAUGCUCUCCACCUAUCAGACUGACUUCAUUCUGGUGCGAGAGAAAGACCUGUCUGUGGUGGUGGAGACUCUGGUGGAAGAGUUUAAUAUUUUCCGAGAGGAGGGAGGAGAAUCAGUGCCUGUUCACAGUCAGGACUCCUGCAAUGGUCUGCAGAGGAACGGCAGAGAGGUUCCACAUGCAACUGUUCAUCCAGUGUUGAUCCCGGAGAAUCAUUUUUGCGUAAUGAGUUUGGAUCCGGACACUCUGCCAGCAAUCGCAACCACCCUCAUAGACGUUCUGUUUUACUCGAACAGUCCUAAAGAGGGCGCCAGUGUUGACCAAGACAUGGAGUGCAUCAAGUUCUUCUCUUUCUCUCUGAUUGACGGAUAUGUGUCUUUAGUGAUGGACACAGACGCACAGAGACAAUUCCCAGCUGAUCUUCUGUUCACCAGCUCCUCUGGUGAGCUCUGGAGAAUGGUGAGAAUAGGAGGGCAGCCUCUUGGAUUCGAUGAAUGUGGAAUAGUUGCUCAGAUCUCGCAGCCUCUUGCUGACAGUGAUAUAUCAGCGUAUUAUAUUAGCACCUUCAGCUUCGAUCAUGCUCUGGUGCCAGAAGAAGACAUUACGAGCGUGAUGGAGAUGCUUCAGACUCAGAGAAAGGAAAUGUCCAGUUGAGGACAGAAAAAGACCUUCACAAUGGAUGGUAGAUCUUACAUGAGCCACUAACACACAGUAUUAUUCUAUAACCUAAGGUGCUUCAGUCACAGCAUUCGAGAGUGAGGCUUCAAAGGCCUUAACUCUGAAAUCAGUGGCUUUUUUCGUUUUCUUUUCAUUUUUCUUUUCUUUUUUUUUUUUUUUUUUGGCUUUUUGUUUUUGAAGGAAAGGCAGUGCUGGUUAAAUCCCAUUUCUAAGAAUUUAAAUAUUUACAUGACUGAUUUUUGUAAGGAUGUUGAUGUGGCGUUUUAAUGCCUGAAUACUUAAAGCACUUUUCUGAUUUAAAAUGAGAAGUUUAUUGUUUUUUAUUCCAUUAUUGCAGGGGUAGUUAAACGCAAAUUGAUGUCCUGUAAUUCAUAACGGGAAAGUUUCCGUUUCCUGCAGAUAUCAUUACACUAAGUAUUGCACAAAAAUGUCUUCCAGUGUUGUCUAAAAUCAGGGUUUUGUUUCUCGAAUAAGCCAGUUUAAGGUCAAACAAAAGGAACUUUUAUUUGUCAUAGCAUUUGGUGUCAUUAAAACAUUGGGUCACUUUAUUUUGAUGGUCUGUUUGUUGAAUUUAAGUUACAUUGCAUCUACUAAUUCUCAAUAUAUUAUAAGGAGAAUGUUAGGUUGGGCUUGGGGUUAGGGUUAGUGUAAAUGACAUGCACCUGCAAAGUUUCUUAUAGUCAGUUAAAUGUUUGUUGAAGGAGCAGUAUCAGCAGAUAUUAAGCAGACAGUCUACUAAUUGGACCAUCAAAAUAAAGUGUUACCGAAUAUUGCACUUAGAAAAACACAGUUCCUGAUGGAGACAUAGUCGGAUCACUUUUGAAAAAGUCAUGCUGUUAUGAUUACUUUUGUUUGCUUAAAAGCCAAAUGGCAGCUGUUUACACCUAUAGCUUACUGGGGUGCAUCUCACAAAAUGUAUCUAAUCAUAUUUUAUAUUUAAUAAAUGGAUUUGGAUGGAGUUUAAGGUCAUGUUUUGCAUAAAGAAAAUGAAAUUAAGUCUUUAGUAUAAAUUUAAAUAUUUUUUCACAUUACCUCAAAACAAACAUCAUAGUAAUUGCACUUCAGUAUUCGUUUUACAGUGCAAAAUUACUGUAUUAAAGUGGUGAGAGUCAAAUGAGAGGAAUUCUGACCCAAAAUUAAAUAAAUAUUUAACAAAGUCAAUUUGACAAAUUAUUGAUGACCUAUAACCAUGUUAUAAUGCCAUAUAAACACACACACACACUUAUAAAUUUUAAGUAUAUAACAUUUUAAAAAUCAUUUUAAAAUACAAACCAUUGUAAUUUAAGGAAUAUUUCAGCGUUUAGUUUGUUAUUAUUUCUUUAAAACGUUAUAAUUAAGCAAAAUUUAGACAUAUAUAUAUAUAUAUAUAUGAGAGCAAUAUCACACGAAUAGCAGUGCGAUAUGGCUGUAUAUCGGCACUGGCGGGAGGCGUUGCGUUGUGCUUAGUGCCCCCACCAGUGCCGAUAUACAGCCAAAUCGCACUGCUACUUGUGUGAUAUUGCGUUUAUACAACUGUUUGACGACAUAAUUGUGUAUAUAAAUAUGUAUGUAUGUAGUUGAGUAAUACACAAAGGGUAAAGAGGCUGUACGGGUGCUGAUAUUAUUUAAAUAUAUCACAGCUAUCAGCCAAUCAGAUUCGAGAGCCAGACAGAACUGUUAUAUAUAUAUAUAUAUAUAUAUAUAUAUAUAUAUAUAUAUAUAUUUAUCAUCAUCAUUAAUGUUAUUAUUUUGUUAUAUAUUUUUAAGGAAAUGUGACGGAUUUUUUUUUUGUGAGAUUCACCCUUUCUUAAGAAUCCUGUUUUGACAGCUUCGCAGCUCUAAAGUCAUAUAUAGUGCGUGUAGACGAAAGAAUCUGUGAAGUUUAUCAAUGUCCCUUGAUUUGCUUUCAUUUGCUCACAGACUGAUAAGAGUUGGAAGGAUGAGUAAGUUUAAGUUCUAGCAACGUUCGUCAAUUGAUCCACAGGUUGAUUAAGAACAUUUUUCUUGCGCAACCGUCUGACAAAUGAAAGCGUUGAUUCUGACACUUGCUUUGUCACUUCUGCCUUUUUGCUUGAUGCAAAAACAUGCCCAGAUCCAGUGUGGCCUUAAAGUCUCAUUUUGUUAUUCACUACAAAGCACAAAUGAAUGCACAAAUUGAGGAAAAGUGCUCUGAAACAAUCAUUAUUUAACCUCUUGAUUGGUGAGAAACCCCAAAAAUAUCAUUUAAAAUUAUAUUGAAAAGUUGCUGGUUGUAUUUCGUAAGCACAAUCACUAAUAAAUGCAGAAAUAUAUUUUAUCGCUGUUACAGAUAAGGUCAAUGUUUUUUGGUUGAACUGCUAAAACAUAAACACUAGCAUUAUACAGAAUAUUAUACAACACAGGCUCAUUCUGAAAAUUUCGCACUUACCACCGCUUACCUUCAUAUGAAUAGCUUUUCUGCUGGUAACAGUUUGUCCAGUUAGCUUGCCUUGUACAGCGGCAGAGACCUAUAGAGGAGUUAACCACGACAACCGGCUUAAAGUCCAGAGAAGAAUGAUUUCAUAAAACUGGUAAGAGAAAAGCAGAAGCCAAAAAAUGUAAUAAACAAAUAAGUAACCGGGUGAAAAUGUGAUAAGAUCUAAAAACAUGAUAAAAAUCAGGUGAGGGCCUUUCUUUUAGUGGAUUGCUUUUUAAAACUAUUGGUUGGGUUUCCGGAAGGAGGAGGGUGGGUCAGUCGAUCUGUCAGUCAGUCAGUUGACAGCGGCCUCUGGUGUAUUCACAAGGGAACAGCAGGCGCGAAUGGCUCUCACGUAAAAAAUUUGAGAUCCCAAAAAGCAAACACAUCGGCCUCUGGUGAAUUUACGUGAGAACAGCCGGAGCAAAUGCCACUCACAAGAGGAAUGUCAGAUCUCAAAAAGCAUACACGGCGGACCCUGGUGGAUUUAUGCGAGAACAGCAGGCGCGAAUGCCACUUGCAAUACAAAUUUGAGAUCUCAAAAAGAAUAAACAGCAGCCCCUGGUGUAUUUACACCAGAACAGCAGGCGUGAAUGGCGCUCGCAAAAAAAAAUUGAGAUCUAAAAAGGGAAACAGCGGCUUCUGGUGGAUGUACGCGAGAACAGCAGGCAUGAAUGGCUCUCGUGUAAAAAGUUUGAGAUCUCAAAGCGUACACAUCGGCCUCUGAUGGAUCUACGUGAGAACGGCAGGCGCGAAUGCCACUCGUGGAAGAAAUCUGAGAUCUCAUAAAGCGUAUCUAGCGGGCCUCUGGUGGAUUUAUGCAAGAAUAGCAGGCAUGAAUGCCACUCGUGAAGAAAUCUCAAAAAGCGUACAAAGUGGCCUCUGGUGGAUUUACGCGAAAACAGCAUCCACAAAUGCCACUCGCGACGACAAUUUGAGACCUCAAAAAGCUUCCACAGCGGCCUUUGAUGGAUUUGCGAAAACAAAAACUGCAUAAAAAACGUACCUUCUGUGGCGUAUUUGCCGCUCUCUAGAAAUGUAUAUAGCGCUACGUUUUCAGAAUGAGCCUGGGUUGAUAUUAUACUAAUAAUUAUAGUCACUUUGCUAACACUGAUGUUUUUUUUUUUUUUUUUUUUUUUGAUAUAGUCGCUCUAUUUUUCAAGGCACAAAUGCAGCAUAAAACUAAUAAUGAAAGUGAUUUUUGAGAUCAUGGUUUAAGGACACCAUGUAUUAACAAAAACGAUUUCCAGUGCCAUUAAGGAGCCAUUUUCAUACAUUUGUUUGAUCUCAUUUCUAUAAUAUCAGCAAAUCAGAAAAGUUCAAGGUUACUGGUGUGCACAAAUGCAGCAUAAAACUAAUAGUGAAAGUGAUUUUUGAGAUCAUGGUUUAAAGACACCAUGUGUUACUAAAAUGAAUUGUUAGUGGAUUUCUAGUGCCAUUAAGGAGCUAUUUUCAUGUUUGUUUCAUCUCAUUUCUACAAUAUCAGCAGAUCUGCUAAGACCAAGGUUACUGGUGUGCAAAAGGGAUGUUUGUACAUAUCAUCAAUGAUUCUAAGUAUUUUUUUUCUUGCUUUUUGCAGACAGAUGGUUUAUCUGAAGUAAUUUUUGGUACAUUUUAUACAGUGUCAAAGGAAUCGUAUACAUGUUUGUAACAGUGCUGCUUGUUCAAUAAAUAACUUUUGAAAACACUUGUCAUUUAUUAAAGUUGUGUUUUUUACGUGUAUAUACAUUCACUAUACACACAUGCUCAGUGUAAUUUAAAAGCUCUGUAUUGAUUAUAAAAUAUUGCUUUUUUUAAAAAUGUAAUAAUCUAGCUCCUGUUUAUCUUACCAACCUCCUGUCUUGCUACAAACCAACUCGCUCUUUAAGAU
ensembl:processed_transcript castor1 cytosolic arginine sensor for mTORC1 subunit 1